GCUGGGUGUAGUGGUGCACACCUGUGGUCCCAUCUACUUGGGAGGCUGAGGUGGGAGGAUCACUUGAACCCGAGAGUUCAAGGCUGCAGUGAGCUAUGAUUGCACCACUGCACUCUAGCCUGGGUGACAAAGUGAAAUCCCUAUCUCUA
ensembl:misc_RNA Metazoa_SRP Metazoan signal recognition particle RNA